AGUAUAGUUAAGUGGAAAAGGAUGUGGAAUUGCACAGACAACCAGGAUGUUGGCUUAGAAGCAGCCACUCAUUAAAAGAGUGCGUAAUAGCUCACUGGUCGAGUGACUCUGCGCCGAAAAUUUAACGGGGCUAAACUAUACACCGAAGCUUGGGAUACAUCUAAUGUAUGGUAGGAGAGCGUUCUGUAUGGGGUGAAGUCGUAGCGAAAGCGGCGGUGGACUGUACAGAAGUGAGAAUGCCGGAAUAAGUAGCGAGAAUUAAGUGAGAAUCUUAAUGGCCGAAAGUCUAAGGUUUUUGGAGGAAGGUUCGUCCGCUCCAAGUAAGUCGGGAGCUAAGGUCAGGCCGAAAGGCGUAGCCGAUGCACAUACGGUUGAUAUUCCGUAACCAUCUGUAAUUUAAGCAAAGGGACACUUUAAAAGGGUGUGACCCGGGCGUUGGUUGACCCGGGCGUAAGGGACCGAAAUUAGAGUAGGGAAGCACACUUGGCUGAAGGCGAGAAAAGCUUUGCGUAUAGAAACAGAUGCCCGUACCGCAAACCGACACAGGUGGACAGGAAGAGAAUUCUAAGGCCAGCGGGAGAAGGGUAGUUAAGGAACUCGGCAAAUUGACUCCGUAACUUCGGAAUAAGGAGUGCUCGAAAGAGCCGCAGAGAAUAGGCCCAGGCGACUGUUUAGCAAAAACACAGGUCUCUGCCAAAUCGAAAGAUGAAGUAUAGGGGCUGACACCUGCCCGGUGCCGGAAGGUUAAGAGGAGGAGUGAGAGCUCCGAAUUGAAGCCCCGGUAAACGGCGGCCGUAACUAUAACGGUCCUAAGGUAGCGAAAUUCCUUGUCGGGUAAGUUCCGACCCGCACGAAUGGUGUAACGAUCUGGGCACUGUCUCAACUACCCACCCGGCGAAAUUGUAGUACCGGUGAAGAUGCCGGUUACCUGCGGCAAGACGGAAAGACCCCAUGGAGCUUUACUGUAGCCUGAUAUUGGGUUUCGGAAAUCUAUGUACAGGAUAGGCGGGAGACUGGGAAACAUGAGCGUCAGCUUGUGUGGAGUCGAUGUUGGGAUACCGCCCUUAGGUUUCUGGAAUUCUAACCUGCGGCCGUGAAUCCGGUCGGGGGACAUUGUCAGGUGGGCAGUUUGACUGGGGCGGUCGCCUCCGAAAAGGUAACGGAGGCGCUCAAAGGUUAGCUCAGCACGGACGGAAACCGUGCCUCUGAGUGUAAACGCAAAAGCUAGCCUAACUGCGAGGGUGACGGCCCGAGCAGUAACGAAAGUUGGAGUUAGUGAUCCGGCGGUAUGUGAAUGGAAAUGCCGUCGCUCAACGGAUAAAAGCUACCCUGGGGAUAACAGGCUGAUCUCCCCCAAGAGUCCACAUCGACGGGGAGGUUUGGCACCUCGAUGUCGGCUCAUCACAUCCUGGGGCUGUAUUCGGUCCCAAGGGUUCGGCUGUUCGCCGAUUAAAGUGGUACGCGAGCUGGGUUCAGAACGUCGCGAGACAGUUCGGUCCCUAUCUGUCGUGGGCGCAGGAUAUUUGAGGAGCUCUGUCCUUAGUACGAGAGGACCGGGAUGGACGUACCUCUGGUGCACCAGUUGUCAUGCCAAUGGCACGGCUGGGCAGCUAUGUACGGAACGGAUAAACGCUGAAAGCAUCUAAGCGUGAAGCCGACUCCAAGAUUAGAUAUCCCAUCGUAUAACGAGUAAGACCCCUUGAAGACUACGAGGUUGAUAGGCUGCGUGUGUAAGUGCCGUGAGGCAUUCAGCUUGGCAGUACUAAUAGGUCGAGGGCUUGACCA
rnacentral:rRNA from 1 species